GUCCAUGCCGUAAACGAUGGGCACUUGAUGUUGGAGGUAUUGACCCCUUCAGUGUCGAAGCUAACGCGAUAAGUGCCCCGCCUGGGGAGUACGGCCGCAAGGUUAAAACUCAAAGAAAUUGACGGGGGCCCGCACAAGCGGUGGAGCAUGUGGUUUAAUUCGAUGCAACGCGAAAACCUUACCUGGGCUCGAAAUGUAGUGGAAGACAGCAGAGAUGUUGUCGCCUUCGGGCCGCUACAUAGGUGCUGCAUGGCUGUCGU
rnacentral:rRNA from 1 species